rnacentral:rRNA from 1 species
GACGAACGCUGGCGGCGUGCCUAAUACAUGCAAGUCGAGCGCAGGAAGCUCGCGGAACUCUUCGGAGGGAAGCRAGUGGAAUGAGCGGCGGACGGGUGAGUAACACGUAAGGAACCUGCCUCAAGGAUUGGGAUAACUCCGAGAAAUCGGAGCUAAUACCGGAUAGUUCUUCGGACCGCAUGGUCCGAUGAUGAAAGGCGCUUCGGCGUCACCUUGAGAUGGCCUUGCGGUGCAUUAGCUAGUUGGUGGGGUAAUGGCCUACCAAGGCGACGAUGCAUAGCCGACCUGAGAGGGUGAUCGGCCACACUGGGACUGAGACACGGCCCAGACUCCUACGGGAGGCAGCAGUAGGGAAUCUUCCACAAUGGACGAAAGUCUGAUGGAGCAACGCCGCGUGAGUGAUGAAGGUUUUCGGAUCGUAAAACUCUGUUGUAAGGGAAGAACAGAUACGAGAGGUAAUGCUCGUAUCCUGACGGUACCUUGCGAGAAAGCCACGGCUAACUACGUGC